GACGAACCGUGCGAACGUUGUUCGGAAUCACUGGGCUUAAAGGGCGCGUAGGCGGUCUGCCAAGUCCGGGGUGAAAUCCUCCAGCUUAACUGGAGAAGUGCCUUGGAUACUGGCGGACUCGAGGGAGGCAGGGGUCGUGGGAACUUCCGGUGGAGCGGUGAAAUGCGUUGAUAUCGGAAGGAACGCCGGUGGCGAAAGCGCACGACUGGUCCUCUUCUGACGCUGAGGCGCGAAAGCCAGGGGAGCAAACGGG
rnacentral:rRNA from 1 species